CGUGUAGGCGGUCAGGUAAGUGGAAUGUGAAAUGCCCCGGCUCACCCGGGGACCGGCAUCCCAAACUGCCUGGCUUGAGUAUGGGAGAGGAUGGAGGAAUUCCUGGCGUAGCGGUGAAAUGCGUAGAUAUCAGGAGGAACACCGGUGGCGAAGGCGUCCAUCUGGCCCAAUACUGACGCUGAGGCGCGAAAGCUAGGGGAGCAAACGG
rnacentral:rRNA from 1 species